CCUACGGGUGGCAGCAGUGGGGAAUAUUGGACAAUGGGCGAAACCCUGAUCCAGCGACGCCGCGUGAAGGAGGAAGUCUUUCGGGGUGUAAAGCUCUUUUGACAGGGAAGAAAAUGAGGCUACCUGUGUAGAAUGCGCCGGGUAACUAUGUGCCAGAGGCGGCGGGAUUACGCGGGGGGCAAGCGUGAUCCGGAUUUACUGGGUGUAAAGGGAGCGUAUACGGGUUAUGAAGACAGAAGUGAAAGCCCGGGGCUCAACCUUAGGACUGCAUUUGAAACUGGGUGUCUAGAGUACAGGAGAGGUAGGCGGAAUUCCUAGUGUAGCGGUGAAAUGCGUAGAUAUUAGGAGGAACACCAGUGGCGAAGGCGGCUUACUGGACUGCAACUGACGUUGAGGCUCGAAAGCGUGGGGAGCAAACAGGAUUAGAUACCCGUGUAGUC
rnacentral:rRNA from 1 species